rnacentral:rRNA from 1 species
AACGAACGCUGGCGGCAGGCCUAACACAUGCAAGUCGAACGCACCGCAAGGUGAGUGGCAGACGGGUGAGUAACGCGUGGGAAUCUACCCGAUGGUACGGAACAACCAGGGGAAACUCUGGCUAAUACCGUAUGUGCCCGGAAGGGGAAAGAUUUAUCGCCAUCGGAUGAGCCCGCGUCGGAUUAGCUAGUUGGUGGGGUAAUGGCCCACCAAGGCUCCGAUCCGUAGCUGGUCUGAGAGGACGGCCAGCCACACUGGGACUGAGACACGGCCCAGACUCCUACGGGAGGCAGCAGUGGGGAAUAUUGGUCAAUGGGCGAAAGCCUGAACCAGCCAUGCCGCGUGAGUGACGAAGGCCUUAGGGUUGUAAAGCUCUUUCAGCGGGGAAGAUAAUGACGGUACCCGCAGAAGAAGCCCCGGCUAACUUCGUGCCAGCAGCCGCGGUAAUACGAAGGGGGCUAGCGUUGUUCGGAAUCACUGGGCGUAAAGCGCGCGUAGGCGGAUUGUUAAGUCGGGGGU